rnacentral:misc_RNA from 1 species
GCUUGCUUGUGAUUGCAUAAUUAUCAGCUCAGUGUGGUUGGUAUUCUGUUAAAGUGCAGCUCUCAAUGUAGUUCGCUGGCAUGUCAGUCUGUCGGGCCUGCGCACGUCAGUCGCACUAUUAUCUCACCUACUCGUGUGCGGCAGUUGAGACAGAGAUUCGACUCACACCUAGUCAACCAUUUACACCUGCUGGCUCACCGACGUCAGCAUCACCUGUUGAAUAAUUUAUAACAUCGGCUACAGACAUAGAUGCUAACCCAUGAAGAAGAACAAUCUGGAAUAAGGAUUAAUCCAGGUAGACAGUGUUCCGCUGUCUUGCCAUUCUUAUCCUGUGCGAGGAAGACAUGUAAGAUUGUAAGGAAACCAUGUUUUUGUCGGUAAGGUGUGUGGGUUGAAAGAUCGUGUUGGCGAACUACGUGAAAAUUCUUGUCGGUAAAGCGAAUUCUUCUAGUGGUGAGGCACAGGAGCAGCAUGGCCUCCACAGUGCCACCAAACACUGUUAGUGUGACGAAACCUGAGGCGAGGCUCUUACAGAGGGAAAAGGUCAUGCUGGACUUUAUCGGAGAACUGAUGGACAGUCAUGUUUCUGUAGACAGGGGCGGCCUGUCCAGUGGGAACAUCGUGGUAACCCACGGAGAUCCCGAGAAAGUUUCUUCUAUCAUCCGCAAAAUACUAUACCGGGUGGACGUGCCAGUCGCAGAGAAAACUGACGAAGACAUUUCACAAAUCAUGAAGUCACUAAGCGAAAAAUUCUGUGGUCAGUUCGAGGCUGACUUUGAAGAAGACCGUUCUACUUUCACAGCAGCGUUUCACAAGAGGGUAAAGGCUGACUUAAAGCCCCUCAUUGAAAGCAUCGCAAUGAAACGUGGUUGUCUUCCCCUGUCGCCAUACCAGAUAAACUACCUGCAGCGCCACCUGGAUGAAGUACAAGAGAGAUUCAAUGGCGGCCAGCACAAAGGUGCGGUCAGUAUCAAGAUGCAGAAAGAGUUGGGGCAGCAGGGCACACUACUAAUUUCCUCCAAAUGGUUGGACUUCAAAGCCACAAAACAGUUGGCAGAUCAGCUGACUUCCAACCUUCGAAACCAGCGAGAGAAGCUCGAAGUAUCGCGUGCUUUGUAUCUAAGCAGUGUCAAAGGUCAACAAGAGUUACGACAGCUGGAAGAGAAGGACCGUUGCCAUGUCUCGGUCUUGUUGCCUGGUCACCAGUUGCUGGCGAGGGCCGAGUCACCAAAAGGACUUUGUGUCUUUCUGUGUGAAGGCAACAUGGCCGCUACAGACUGCAAUGUUCUCCUGCUUCCUUUACACGAAGGUCACAAAGACUGGACUCCUGCGCAGAAGAUGAUCCUGGACAGAGGUCUUCUGACAACCAAACCCGAACUGUACGCAGAGUUGAUUGGCUGCUCGCCCAAGCCACGGACCUUGAUGCUUAAGUGUCAAAGGCCAGAAGCUGGAAAGACAGUGGUCCUAGUCUAUGUUCCUGACCAUUCAGACUGUUGCUCAGUGUCGGUGGAAGAAAUGGCUAAAGGACUGGACGGAGAACGGGCUGAAAAGCUAACUGAGGGACUGGGUGUAGCACUCGCUGAAGAACAGGCUGACAAACCAAUAAUAGGAUUGGUUGAAGGAGUAGAUAUAGAACUAGGUCCAGAAGAGACUGAAGAAAUAAAUGGAGAGAGUAAUCUAAAAGAAACUGAGAAACCGAUUGAAGGGCUUGAUGGAGAACCCUUUAAAUGGCUAGAUAAAGAACUGGAUGGAGGAAAGGAUGGGGAAUCGGAUGCAGGACUAGACCUGGAUCCAGAGCAGCCUAAAGAAGAAGAAUUGAGUAAAGGAAUAAAUGGAGAACUGGAUGUAGAAAUUUCUAAAGGAAUGGAUGGAGAAGCAACAGCUGGACGAGAUGGAGAAACGGUUAAAGAUAUUGAUGGAAAACUCGAUGGAGAACUGGCUCAAAUACUGGAUGGGGAAGUGGAUGUAGAACUACUUACAGAAGUGAGUAAUGGACCUGCUCAGAAGGUAGCCAAAGACCUGGUUGGGGGAGUGGCAAAAGGACUGGCUGAAGCUUUACGGUUGCCGUGCUCACGUGGGACAAGCGUUGCUGUACCCGCCAGGUUCAGUACCCAGCAUUCGGCGGCUGACAAUCUGAAAACAACCCUUAGGGUCGUCAGACACAUCUUGGAGGAGGACGAAGACAGCCCGACUACCGUGGUGGUUUUUCUGGAGGCAUCAUCUGACUGCGAGAGGAAGCACGUGACUGAAGCCCUCGAGCAGACGCUGAGUCCACGCUGGAAGGUUGAGACGGACUUUGUUGUCCUACAGGAGGAGAAUAAAACUGCAUCACCAGCAGCCAUCAUCUGUGCUCAACAUCAGGACCUAGAAAAGGCAUCUAGCGAGCUGCAGAAUAUUCGCGUUCCUAAAGAAUACGAGGGGAGCACGAGUGUACUGAGCGCUGACAUAAAACCUGGAUCGGACCUCUGUAUCGUGUCACAGAGUAUCAGUAAAGAUCUUGAAACAGGAAAAGUUUCAGAGGAAAAGAGACUUUCUGGACAACAACAGAUCUGUGAUAACGACGAUAAAUCAGCUGAGGACGAGGGCAGAGGCAAUGACGAAUCAGUGACAUGUUUUCGUGAUGACACCUCUACUGAUGACAGGUUUGACGACAGCAAGCAAGUUGAUGGUAGUGCUGAGGACAACGAUGCCGAGACGAUCACUGUUCCAUGGGGUGAAGAUGCUCGAGAUGAAGACAACAACGCAAAAGACCAAAGCAAACAAAAAGCGCCAUCUUUUGGUGGCACCAGGCUGCUUAUCUCUGGCAUUGUAAAAAGAUUAUCUGAAAAUUUUCUCAAGACUUUUCUGAAGCGUGUUGGAGCUGCUGAUGUGCUGUCUUUGCAGAUGAAUAGGAACAGAGAUAAGGCGCUGAUUGUCAUAGCAAACGAAAAUGUCGAUUUGCAACACCUGAAGCAGGUUUGUACCGAGAAAUCAGUGUGUGGUGAUGAGGUGAUUGUAAAAGCUGCCCCCAUUUCGAACUCAGUUCUGAUCCAAAACCUGAACCCCACGACGCAAGACGGAGCCAUUUUCUACUUUUUUAGCAACAAAAAGAGAAGCGGUGGAGGACCUGUGUGCGAUGUCUUCAGACUCGAUGACACUCGUGCUCUUGUUCAGUUUGAGCAGCUCGCCGAUACCCAGGCGGUUGUGGACAAAAAAGCUCAAGUCUUGGAUAGCUUCCCUUUGGAGGUCUGUAUGUCUCCUUGGAAUGAACUUACACCUCGGCAAGAACAAUCGUUAGCUACUACCUAUUCUGGAUCACCUACACUUUCGAAUGUUGACCAAAAACGAAAAGGUUCUAGAGGCAAGCAGUAUGAGCGACAACAUGAAAGACCGACAGAAGGAAGAUCUGGUCCUGACCUACUGUCUGAACCUUGCGAAGUCCCACAAUAUUCAAAUGUAGUCACAGAUUCAGGACCCAAUGGUGAGCCGUCUCUCUGGGGAAGAGGGAGAGGUAGGGGCAGCAGAAGGGGAGGCAGACGAGGAAAUAAAAGUACUUCCGAGAGGUGGGACGGAAGACCGAGAGAGUCUUCACAACCUUUCGGACACCAAGCAUUCUAUCCACCAUAUCCUUUGCAAGCAUGUUACUACGGAUCAGCUGAAAUUAAUGCUAGAGGGAAAUUUAAACCACCUGACUCUAUUAUAGUUACUUCCACAAGGCCAGGUGUACCAGAAAACUGGAAAGAACAGGUGUUGAAGAAAAUCGACAAAUAUGAGCACUUUUUUCCAGACAGGGUUUUGGGAGAAAUGAACCAAGCGCAGCUGAACAGAGAUUUAGCAUCAGAACUGCCACAAACAGAGCAAAUGAUGGAAACUGCUGCAAGAUUCAGGGAAGGGAAUUCUACUGUCACACUAAGAGGUGCGCAGGAGAUGAGGGCUAAAAAUGGCGAGGAACCGGUCGACAGAAGAGCAGAACAGGACACAAACUCAGUUCCACGAUUAGAAGUCAUCCGAGGCCUGAAGCCAUGCCAGAUCAAGGUCAUGUCCUUGCCACAGGUCGAGAGCAGGUUCGAGGAGAAAUAUAAAGGUCUUUCUCUUCAUAUGGAUCGAGAGAACAAGAAGCUGGCCCUAAGGAUAGAGGCCACAGAGAAAGAAGCGAAAAAGAUGAUGGCCGACAUCAUGGAAUACGUGACACAGAUCUCAGAGAGAACACUGCCAGCCACAGAGGCCAUGGCCCGUCUGCUCGCCGACCAGCGCUCCCUCAGCUGCACAGAAGCCAUGCUAAAGAAGAAAGGCGUUCUCUGUCGUCUGGAACUGAAGUCCAAUGCCAUUUCAGUCAGUGCCCCAACAUCCGGUCUGGCAGAGCAGGCAGAAGAUAUUUUCAGGCGUUCGUUCAACGAACAUAGCCGUGAUCUCGAGGAAGAUGAAGUUGCAGCAGCAAAGUCCUCAUCCUGGAAAAACUUAUCAGAAAAACUUCAGCGAAGAGACAAAGAAGAAGUACCCAACCCUGUCCUGCUCCUCAACACGGAGAAGAAGAUCGUAACCCUUCUAGAUGUGGCUGAGAAUUUCCCUAAGACAUGGGCCGAUGUGAAAACAUUUUUCAGCAUUAAAAAAGUGACGAAACUAGAGCGAAAAAUAUAUCUGAAUCAUUGCAAAUUUCUGACAAAGUGUUGUAAAGAAAAGAUAAAGCUGCUGAAGGAGAAGGCCGCCCAAGUAGGUGUGCUCGUAAACAUCGGCAAGAACGGCCAUGUGGACUUCACGGGCCUCACGGACGAUAUUUCAGUCAUCAAUGGGGAGAUGGUCAAUCUUCUUAAAUCCAUUCAGAUGAAGAAGAAGGUAUUUUCUGGUCCAGGUAUAGACACUUAUCUCAACAGCUCUGCAGGGCAACUGUUUAUAGAGCACACAGGGCAGGCAAACCUUUGCCUAGUAACGACAUCCGGUGAUAACACUUUCUUAACUUACCCUAAUGGUUUCAUGGUGGAUAGAGACAAAUCAAAGCAGUCUGAAGAACCACAUGAUGCCUUCUCGGAAGUAAUUCAGCCUAAUGAGGGAUCAAGUUCGGCAGCUCUUGAAGCAGGUGACGUUGGCUCAAACUCCGUUGAAAAGACCAUGUGGAAAUCUAUUGCUGUAUUAGUAUACUCCUGCGAUCAAGAGGCGAUUCAAAAAGUGCUCAAAGAAAUAAGAGAACACAUCAAGCAGAACCAGGCCACCAAGGAGGAACAGGACGAAAUCAUCUGCAACUUUUCUCCUCAGCAGCUGUCAGCAGUAACAGCCCUACAAAAGAAAUACGAGGUCGUCAUUAACAUGGAUGCAAAAAGGGGCACCGUUAAAAUUACUGGAUUCCAAUCCAAUGUCCUGGAAGCUUACGCAGCCCUUAAAGACAUCAAAUCCGAGGCGAGCAUGCGUGACCCCAUCACUGGCACGAUGCCAAUUCUCUGGCAGCAUGAGGUCAGCGAGGGCAAGUUCAGAAACUUUGACCCAGAGGACAUUCGCGACAUCGAGGCAGCCUACAACAGGAGAGAUUCUUCUGUUACUCUGACGAACAAGCAGGGAGGGAACUAUAAAGUUGUAUUUGAGGAAAAGAAGGUCUUAGACUUGUUCGCCCAGCCUGUUUCCGUCCGACGGAUAGACGUUUUGCAGGGAAACAUUGCAGAUCCAGCGCGUGCAGAACCCAACUUUGUUCCAGCAGUACAAGGUGAAGAAGAAGGAGCUGGAGAUGCACAACCCACCUGGCACUGAAAACGAGAAGAGGCUCUGGCAUGGCACUGACUCCAAAAACAUUGACAGUAUAACUACUAACGGCUUUAAUCGGAGCUACUGUGGGCAGCAUGGAACAGCAUUUGGUCAGGGUGUCUACUUUGCUACAGACUCUGCCCUUGCCAGACGCUAUACCAAGGACAGUCACAUACUUCAGGCGCGUGUGCUGGUAGGCCAGUCCACGCCAGGUCACAAAAGCUUGAGAAUGCCCCCCAA